rnacentral:rRNA from 1 species
GGGUCAGUAGGUUGGUCGUGCCACCGGUACGUACUGGUCUCACUGAUUCCUCCUUCCUAAAGAACCGUAAUGCCAUUAACUUGGUGUUGCGGGGAAACAGGACUGUUACUUUGAAAAAAUUAGAGUGUUUAAAGCAAGCUAACGCUUGAAUACAUUAGCAUGGAAUAAUGAAAUAGGACGAUCGAUCCUAUUUUGUUGGUUUCUAGGAUUGACGUA